rnacentral:rRNA from 1 species
UGGGGAAUAUUGCACAAUGGGCGGAAGCCUGAUGCAGCGACGCCGCGUGGGGGAUGAAGGCCUUCGGGUUGUAAACUCCUUUCGACAGGGACGAAGCGUAAGUGACGGUACCUGUAUAAGAAGCACCGGCUAACUACGUGCCAGCAGCCGCGGUAAUACGUAGGGUGCGAGCGUUGUCCGGAAUUACUGGGCGUAAAGAACUCGUAGGUGGUUUGUCGCGUCGUCUGUGAAAUUCCGGGGCUUAACUCCGGGCGUGCAGGCGAUACGGGCUGACUUGAGUGCUGUAGGGGAGACUGGAAUUCCUGGUGUAGCGGUGAAAUGCGCAGAUAUCAGGAGGAACACCGAUGGCGAAGGCAGGUCUCUGGGCAGUAACUGACGCUGAGGAGCGAAAGCAUGGGUAGCGAACAGGAUUAGAUACCCUGGUAGUCCAUGCCGUAAACGGUGGGCGCUAGGUGUAGGGGGCUUCCACGUCUUCUGUGCCGUAGCUAACGCAUUAAGCGCGCCCGCCUGGGGAGUACGGCCGCAAGGCUA